ACCUGUCCCAGUAAAGCUGCUUUCUCUCCUUUUUUACUUUUUUUCUCUCUGCACUGCUCUUUUAGUAGCUUCCCUUUCCUCUCUACUCUUGUGAGAGUUGAGCAUACUCUGUUCUGUCAAAUCUUUCUCUGAUUCAGCACUUUGCCACUCAAUUGGACACCGCUUUCAAACAUGGGUGCUUCCUUUUACAAACUCUACCUUCAUUUUUGGAAUUACAGGAGUGUACUGAGGGCCUGUCUGUAUUCCAGCCAGAAGAAUUAAGGUGUGUGCUAAGGGCCAAGACACACAACUAGAAACAGAGCUUUUCAGUAAAUACCAAGAGCCGGCGUGGUGGCGCACGCCUUUAAUCCCAACACUUGGGAGGCAGAGGCAGGCGGAUUUCUGAGUUCGAGGUCAGCCUGGUCUACAAAGUGAGUUCCAGGAUAGCCAGGGCUAUACAGAGAAACCCUCUCUCGAAAAACCAAAAAAAAAAAAAAAAAAAAAAAAGGUAAAUAACAAGAUCCUGGGUUUGCAGUGUGAUAAAUAUUCUGCAACAGUUGAACUGUGGAAAGAAGUCCUCUAGGGAAAGGACACAGUGGUAUAAAGAUAUAGAACAAUGUGAGGUGAAGUGGCGCACACCCUUGGUCCCAGAACUGAGGAGGCAGAGGCAAGUGAACUCUAGGUUUGCACACUGCCUUGUGUACAGAUUGACCUCCUGCAUGGCCAGGGCUACAUGGAGAGCCCUGUCUCAAUGCUCUCACCCAUAUGCUCCCUAAAACCCAAAGAAGAACAUAUCAGAGGUCCUUACCUAGUGGGACGACAUUGUGCCUAGGGGACAUUACUUUGGCCAAAAUAACAGUUAAAUAAUGGUAGAGUAUUGAGCAGACAGUCUGCACUUUUCAGAGUUGCUGACCGGGAGAGAACAAGUGUGCUCAUAGAGCUACUCAUGUGAUCUGCGUAGGCUGCUGGGGGUUGGAGAAGAACCAUGAACAGAAUAACACUGGUUCAGUGGUACAGGACUGGCAUGCAAGACCUCUGCAGAACUGUUAGCAAGUGUGUUCAUUGUCCUGAUCAGCAAGGAGCACCCAAAGGUGGUUAAGCACAGCAGGAGCACGGUUAGAUUGCUGUUCUGAAGACAGCUCAGGGUGGGUGGGAUAGCUUAGCCAGUAGCUGAUGCCAAACCUGACAAGCUGACUGAGGUUGACACACAUAGUAGAAGGAGAAAAUAAAUUCCCCCAAGUUUUCUUCUGACCUCCAUCUGUACAAACACAAUAAACAAAUACAAAUACAUAUAAUACAUAAAUAAUAUAUAUUAUAAAUAUUUUUAUAUUUUAUAUUGUAUAUAUAAUAUAUAUGUAUUCUAAGGACAGCUCAGGUUUUGUUAUAAAGGAAAUUUCAAAUCAAUGAGUGGACAUUUGAAUAGGUUUGCAUAAAAUACAACAGCUUUCCCACGGAAAUCCCUCAGAGCUAGACUUUGUCUUUUGCUAAAUUCAUGACUCCUUAUUUGUCUUGCACAGUUUUCUUAUGCUUGUUUUGAGAUAGGAUCUCACGUUGGUUCCUGAUUCAGCCUUGCAGCUGCUGAGACGAGAUGUGUAUGCCAGUGUUGGAUGAUCUUUGCUGUCUAGCUCCUGGCUACUAGCAUCUGCAAUGUGAAUUUGAUUAGCCUCUGCUUUAGAAUUUUAGUGAUCUCUCCAGUUGCUAUGGGAGAGAGUUCAAGUAUCUUAAACAUAUAAACUGUUUCUUGGUUCUCUAAAACCUCACAUUCUGAUCUUGCUUUCACACAUUUUAAACUAUGAACAUUUCAUAUCUGGACUCAUUUAAAUAUGUGAACUCAUAGUAGACUUGGUACAGAGUAGAUCUGGUGAGAUGGUAUCAGAAAAUGUCUACAAACAGAAUCUUCAGAAUUUUGGAAUUUUGGAAAUAGUAAAUAAUAAAGGUGGCUAGAAAGGUACCAGUUUAAAUCAAAAUAAGGAAUUUGGGCAAAAUUCACUAGAUGUUGGCAGGUUAUGGGAAGGUUUUGAGCAAGAAUUGCUACAGGCAGUACUUCUGUGAAAGAAUUAGAAUUGUUUGUAGCAUGUAUUUAGCAAACUAGGUAGCAACAGUAGGGCCUAAAGCACAUUGAAACAGCAGUAAAUGAGGGCAAAUGGACAGAUGGAUGUUACAGAGGUGAUGUCAGUAGUCUAGAGUGUGAGUGUUAUUCAUAAAAAUAAAGAUGUCAGGUGAUCAGAUGCUGAUAGGUAAUAUUCUGGACUUCAUGAAUAUGUAGUUUCAGAGGAAUGUAUUUGUUUUAUUUUUUUGUCGUAUUACUGACUAUUGCUUUAUAUCUUUGUAUAAGUAGUUCUUAACUCUCCAGUACCCUGAAGGCAACAGGCAUUCUGUCACCCUUACCAGUCUUUUCCCUCUUGUAUCCUAUGUUCCUCCUCCCUCCAUCAGCAGUUAGUCCAAGGAGAAAGUCUAUGCUAGAGUAAUUAAGUCAAGGUAAGAUAAUAUCUGAAUUCAUAGCCUUUGGAAAUUAUUCAUACAUUUGUGUAAGUGCCCAAAGGCAUUUAUAGUUUGUUACUGACCUUGUAAUAGAUAGAACUUUUCCAUGGGAGAUGAGAAUACCUAGGCCAUGAGUGAGACCAAUAGAGUCAUCAUAAAAAUAAACUAUGGGGCUAGAGAGAUGGCUCAGUGGUUAAGAGCACUAACUGCUCUUCUAGAGGUCCUGAGUUCAAAUUCCAGCAACCACAUGGUGGCUUACAACCAUCUGUAAUGAGAUCUGACACUCUCUUCUGGAGUGUCUGAAGAUAACUACAGUGUACUUACAUAUAAUAAAUAAAUAAAUCUUAAAAAACCCAAAACUAUGAACUUAAAAUUUCUGGCUCCUGUAGUCUUUUUUUGGGGUGGGGUCAGGGAAGGUUGCCUUGUUUUGUAGUAAGUAUUUGUGUUCAUUAGUAUAUAUUGAGUAUAUGAAACUCAGUCCUACCUUCAAGUCAUCUGUUGUCUAACUGGUAUCUGUUGGUUACAGUGCUGUUAUUUAAAUUAUUUAAAAAUUAGAUGGGCAGUGGUGGCACAUACCUUUAAUCCUGACAUUCAGGAGACAGAGUCAGGAGAAUCUCAAAUUCCAGGACAGCCUGGUCUACAGAAUGAGUUCUAGAACAGCCAGGGCUACAUAGAAAAAUCCUGUCUUAACCCCAAACCCC
rnacentral:lncRNA from 1 species